rnacentral:rRNA from 1 species
UACGGAGGGUGCAAGCGUUAGUCGGAAUUAUUGGGCGUAAAGGGUGCGUAGGCGGAAAUGCAAGUCAGACGUGAAAUUCCGAGGCUUAACCUCGGAGCGGCAUCUGAAACUGCAUUUCUAGCGGAAUGGCGGAGAAAACGGAAUUCCACGUGUAGCGGUGAAAUGCGUAGAUAUGUGGAAGAACACCUGUGGCGAAAGCGGUUUUCUAGCCUACUCCGGACGCUGAGGCACGAAAGCAAGGGGAUCAAACAGG